CUGCUCUUUUUGUUUACCCAGCCCCUUACAGUGGGUGUCCCAGACUACCUCAUCAACCGUGCUAAACUAGGAGCUUCUAAGAUUUGGGUUUUAUUUAGAAAAUCCCAACAUGAAGCUGCAGGGCCGGCUCAACCAUGGACCAAGUGGGUCCAAUGGACCUAGGCAGCACUUGACAAGGGGCAGCACUUCAAUGACUGAGUCGGGCACUGUCAGAUCCAGAACACUCCUGUCCUCUGUUUCCAUAGGGGAAGUUACUCAAAGACACACAGAACCGGUCAGGGGCGAUAUUCAAGAUGGAAAGUGCAUCUCUUCCUACUUACUGCCCAAUUGUAUUGAAUUGGUUGCAUGCAGGUAGGCAGGCUUAGUAAGGUCAUUAGGUUGAUAUGCUAAUCAGUAAUGUUACUACUGGGGGGUGUCAUUUCAUUCUUGGACCCAGACUGCACAAUAUCUUGAGCGGGCCCUGGCUAUUAAGCAGCAUAGAACCACAACCAACAUAAUAGUGAUGGGUGAUCCUGAUUGUUAAAGAGAUUUUAAUCCCUUUACGCUGUUAGGAUGUUCCAUGCCGUCCUAUCAGCGCUGGGCUUUAACGCCGUCAGGAGGGCAGGGAAUGUCCUGCAGCUUCCCCCUUUGUUGUAGGCAAGGAUCGGCCUGGGGGAGUGCCUAGCAGCUUAGACAGUCCCCCAUGAUUCGAUCCCGGUCUUGAAAUCACAUGAUAGCAUCAGCAAUCGCGUGAUUUCAUUUUUACUAAUAGUAAACACAAAGAGGUUAAACAGUAAAUACAUGUUAGACAUAAUGAUGUGUUUAAAGUAAAGAUUAGCCUUAGAAAAGUAUAAGUGUAAAGCUUUAGUCUCUAUUAAGUAACUUAGAACAGUCUCUUUUAUUGCCUGUUUUGUGUUUGUCCCUAAUUGUUUUAAAUAAGGGAAACAGAUAAGGGGCAACUUAAGUUCAAACAUGGGGCAACCAUUAUUUUAUAGAAACUCAGUGGAAUUUAGAAAACCAACAAUUUUUAGAGUUAACUUACAGGAAAACAGAACAAAAUAAAUAAUGAAAGUAUAUUGCACAGAUUUUGUAACCACAAAUAAGUAAACAUUCUAUAUUACAAUCUGUCAUUUUCUCUCUCCACCUGUUAUAUUCUUUCUUCUCCCCAGACUUCUUCACUUACCCACUCUUUUAGUAGUGUCCUUGAAAUUAAUUUGAAGUAAGGGGCUCCUACUUUCUUCUGUGGAGUGGAGGACAGAGGAGGACUUGGUGAUUCUCUCUCCUGAGGCUAGAAUUGGGUUAUGGGUCAGAAUAUUUUUGUUAUGGCAAUAUCUAGUGAUUCUGGGUCUAACACCUAAUUGUCAAUGUAGGGGGGAAAUGACCAUGUAAUCUGGGUUCCAGUCAACAAACCAAAUAAAUUCUUAUGAUUUGUUGCA